rnacentral:rRNA from 1 species
ACAGUAACCGUAUAGAUUUUUAUUCUCGGGGCAGACGACGCUGCGGCGUGCUAAUACAUGCAAGUCGAGCGAGCUGAAUCAAAGAUCCUUCGGGAUGAUUGUUGGACGCUAGCGGCGGAUGGGUGAGUAACACGUGGGCAAUCUGCCCUAAAGACUGGGAUACCACUUGGAAACAGGUGCUAAUACCGGAUAACAACAUGAAUCGCAUGAUUCAAGUUUGAAAGGCGGCGUAAGCUGUCACUUUAGGAUGAGCCCGCGGCGCAUUAGCUAGUUGGUGGGGUAAAGGCCUACCAAGGCAAUGAUGCGUAGCCGAGUUGAGAGACUGAUCGGCCACAUUGGGACUGAGACACGGCCCAAACUCCUACGGGAGGCAGCAGUAGGGAAUCUUCCACAAUGGACGCAAGUCUGAUGGAGCAACGCCGCGUGAGUGAAGAAGGUUUUCGGAUCGUAAAGCUCUGUUGUUGGUGAAGAAGGAUAGAGGCAGUAACUGGUCUUUAUUUGACGGUAAUCAACCAGAAAGUCACGGCUAACUACGUGCCAGCAGCCGCGGUAAUACGUAGGUGGCAAGCGUUGUCCGGAUUUAUUGGGCGUAAAGCGAGCGCAGGCGGAAUGAUAAGUCUGAUGUGAAAGCCCACGGCUCAACCGUGGAACUGCAUCGGAAACUGUCAUUCUUGAGUGCAGAAGAGGAGAGUGGAAUUCCAUGUGUAGCGGUGGAAUGCGUAGAUAUAUGGAAGAACACCAGUGGCGAAGGCGGCUCUCUGGUCUGCAACUGACGCUGAGGCUCGAAAGCAUGGGUAGCGAACAGGAUUAGAUACCCUGGUAGUCCAUGCCGUAAACGAUGAGCGCUAGGUGUUGGGGACUUCCGGUCCUCAGUGCCGCAGCAAACGCAUAAGCGCUCCGCCUGGGAGUACGACCGCCAAUGG